rnacentral:rRNA from 1 species
AGUGAACGCUGGCGGUAGGCCUAACACAUGCAAGUCGAACGGCAGCACAGUAAGAGCUUGCUCUUACGGGAGGCGAGUGGCGGACGGGUGAGGAAUACAUCGGAAUCUACUUUUUCGUGGGGGAUAACGUAGGGAAACUUACGCUAAUACCGCAUACGACCUACGGGUGAAAGCAGGGGAUCUUCGGACCUUGCGCGAUUGAAUGAGCCGAUGUCGGAUUAGCUAGUUGGCGGGGUAAAGGCCCACCAAGGCGACGAUCCGUAGCUGGUCUGAGAGGAUGGGCAGCCACACUGGAACUGAGACACGGUCCAGACUCCUACGGGAGGCAGCAGUGGGGAGUAUUGGACAAUGGGCGCAAGCCUGAUCCAGUCAUGCCGCGUGGGUGAAGAAGGCCUUCGGGUUGUAAAGCCCUUCUGUUGGGAAAGAAAAGCAGCAGGUUAAUACCCCGCUGUUCUGACGGUACCUAAAGAAUAAGCACCGGCUAACUACGUG